GCGACCCCAGGAUGGGCGAGACCACCCGCUGAGUUUAA
rnacentral:rRNA from 1 species